rnacentral:lncRNA from 1 species
UCCUUUUGAGGAGAGACAGGCAUUACUCGCAGACUAUGGUUUUCGAUGUCGAUGCUCCAAGUGUCUAGAGGAAGCCUAAUCAAAAAUUAAAGGCAGCUAAUUUCAUAUAGCUAUGGUUUUCGAUGUCGAUGCUCCAAGUGUCUAGAGGAAGCCUAAUCAAAAAUUAAAGGCAGCUUCUUUGAGAGAAUUUCAUAUAGUAAAGGGCUAUCUUUUACCCUUUCCCAUUAAACAAUUUUCCUUGAUAUAACUAGUUAAGCAUAAAAUUUGAUUAACCUAUUGUUUGUUUCCUGAUAAAAUUGAAAGGUAGACUGGAGAAAAUUUUGUCGAAUGAGUUGAUUGCAGGAAAGCAUAUUGGCUAAAAAAAUUCCAUGAAAUUGUAGUAAAUGUCCGGCUAAAGUUGUUUAGCGAAAAGACUGCAAAGAUGUAAAACCCCGGAUUUCUUGAUUCUUUUUUAUGAAAUACUUUAUUUUC